rnacentral:piRNA from 1 species
UGGUGUUCGGGAAGAAAGGGUCUG